UAUUCAUGAUGUGAAGACACAAAUUCAUGAUGUGAAGAGCACAAAAUAAUUCUGUGUGUUUUUAAUGUCAAGUUUAUGAGAUGUUUAACAUUUUUUUAAUGUUGUUUAACUUCAGGUGAACAAACAACAUCACGAUUCUAAAAGGCAAUCUGGUCAGCUAUCUUGCUUGAACCUUGUCUCAUCUAUUCUUAGCUUAAAAACCCCCCAGAGUGUUGGAAAUAUAGCACAGAAAGUUGACCCGAAGUGUGAAGUUUCAAAAAGUCCGCAAUGAUUUAUGUCAGAAAAAAAAUGUACUUCAAUUCUUUAUUCCAUUUAAUCGUAGACGUGUUCAGAGACGGUAAAGAAAUGAUUGAAACUUAAUAUAUAUAUGUAACAGCAUGACCACUAAACAUUUCAUUAUACAAAUGAAAUCAUCUUCCUCGUACAAGACAAUAGCCCUCGUCGAAGGAGAUGUAGACAAGAAGAAUCAUUAGUCUAAAGAUAGUCAAAUUAAAUCAUGUCUCACGAACAAACCUAUAAUAAAUUCUAUGUGCAAUCAAACAAUUUAGUCACUAUUUGAAGUACUACUAGACCAAUAUAUUUAGAUAAAAACCAAUGGUGCCCUUCACCCCCUAUUACACUUCCCCCCCUCCCGCCUCCCGCACACAAAAAGAACACACAAAAAAGCCACCCCUUUCUCCCUCUAUGCCCACUGAGAGGAACUCCGUUGAAAUGGCUAUUAUUUUAUUUCCAUUGAAAUGUCUUCUCUUUCAAGUCAUCACAUACAUAGGAUGUCUAAAUGUCUGGAAGCAUACUUUAACGCAUAAAUAAAACUAAUUAUCAAAGUGUAGAGUUCUGGCUUCUUUUUCAUUCAAUGCAAGUUUGCAUUUUUCUUUAUCCUCUCCAUUGUAUAUGUCUAGUCUAGUUAAACAAGCUGAGAAAGUUCUGACUAUCUACAAAGUAUCUACAAGUGAUAUUAUUAGGUUCUAGUCACGUGGUAUCCAGAUAGGCUGGAUGGGCUUCCAUUUAGACGCAUUACAUAAGUAGGCUUAUGUUUUUGGAAACUGAAAACAACAUAGCAGAGGAAGUGUGUCUCUAGCAUUGGUACUACAUCGCAUGGUUUGGGAAGAGGCCAGUCAAAUAGUUUAGUGGAUAGAAGCUUCCGUUGUCUCAUGAUAGACGUCAGGGGCAAGGGUAAAUGCACUGAUGGUUAGGUAGUGUCUUGUUUUAUUGGGCUUGUUUGUGUACAAACGCUGCUGUGAUAAAAUGUUCAUGACCUGUGUUAUUUCAUUAUUUUAUUCACUACUUGUAUAUAUAUAUAAAAUGAUCAUGUUUAACUAGAGACUCUAUGACCUUUGGUCUGAUUAGUAAUAAACAAAGUUCGAAAUAGUU